UUAAACACACAUGCAAAAAGUCUGUGGUAGAAGGUUGCUACAGGCUGGAACUGCAAGAUUAUUCUUCUUUUCUUUAGGCUCGCUGGUAUCCUGCAGCAGAUCUUCUUGGAUUUAUUGACAAACCUGCUCAAAUGGUGCUGGACUAUAACCGAAGAGAUGAAAUUGCAACAAAACCACUUAAAUACUUAUCAAAGAAAUAGACCUGCUUAUUAAAAGGAUAAUAUUUCCUGGCACCUAGACAAAAUACACAAAGCUGAAUCUUGAGGCCUUCCUCAGUCAAACUUCUGUGGGAAUGCGGCUGUGUGAGGACUGCAGGAGCAAGCCUUAGAAUAAGAGCCACUCAAAAUGAAAGCAUUAGAUUCAAGGUAUUUUCCUUCUGCCUGAAGAAAUGAGGGUAGAAGAUCCUGGCAAUAAACACCUCUCACACUGAAAAGUGAGAGGCUCUGAGGAAAAGGUGCCAGAAGGUGCUUCAUCUUCAAAGCGCCUUGAAAACAUUUGUUAUCUGAACAUCUGCAGGAUUGGAUGUCCUUCUACUGCUCAAAGUCUCUCCCACUACUGCACGGGGUAAUCUGAUGUCUUAAAUGAUUCCAGCACAACUUUACCAGAUGCCAGACUCCUGCGGACGAUGAUUUUGCUUCAGCUUUAACCUUAUUUCCUAUUGGCUCAAAGGUUUACAGAACAUUUUUAAGCGUUCUUGUCUGUGAAUUCAAGUGUGCUUUAGCAAAAUAAUUUAAUUCUGUAUGACACAAAAAUGGAAUUGUAUUCUUUCACAGCUGAGCUUUCUGGAUACAUAUUACUUGGUAACCUUAAUCUCAGAACCAUGUAAAAAUCAAGU